ensembl:lncRNA
CUGGCUGAGCAGAGUGGUGAGGCUGCAGGUCUACGUAGUGAGCUGUCCCGCCUGCAGCAGAGGAGCUCCCAGCUGUCAGAGGAGAGAGGGGGCCAGGAGGAGAGGACCAGGCAGCUGGCUGCAGAGCUCCACAGACUACGCACUGCCAGCAGACACUGGAUGAGACUCGGUCCUGUGAGGGCAGGCUGGCAGAGCUGAGUGCCCAGCUGGGGAGGUCUCAGUGCUGGGGCCAGGAGAAGCUGGUAGCCCUGGAGAAGGAGGUGGUGCUGAUUAAGGUGGAGAUGGCUUCUCUCAGGGAGAACUACCAUGCCAAGGUGCCCCAGGUCAGACACACACUUACACAAUGGGUUCUGGGGACAUUCUGGUAGGGUUUAUGACUAAGGAUAGGAGGUUUUGCUGACCAUGUGACCUGAUCAGGAAAAACUCUGGGCCCUUAUAAUAGCCGGAAGCCUUACUGCCUAACUGUGUAACUAGGCCCAAAGUUUUCCUGAUCAAUUGAUGUGCUCAUGAAAACCUCUUGGCUCUAGUUAUGACACAUAUCCUCACACUUUGCACUGGCACAGAAAGGCCAAACAGCAUAGUUAGUAAUCACCUCUCAAUGAAAAAUGAGCUGUAUAGCCAUUAGGAUGUGCAGCAGGGGUUUGUUCAUGUGUCUCUGUUCAGGUGGAGGCCUUACACUCACAGCACGAUUCCAUGGAGCACAAGUACAGCACAGCAGCUAAUGAGGUAGUGAACCCUUAAAACCUCCAGAUAUGUCAGAUAGACACUGUUAGAGUUGUAGACUCUAGUUACUCUCUCUCUCUCUCUCUCUUUCUUUCUUUCUUUCUUUCUUUCCCCCCAUCUCGUGUUGCGCCAGUCUCUGGGUAAUGCUCGUUCAGACAGUUCUCUUCUACACAGGGAGAGUGAGCUGGUGGGAACCAACGUCAACCAGUGGGUGGAGCAGAAGCAAGGGUCUGCAGGGGGAGAUGAAGAGGCUGAAGGCUGAGCUAGAAGAGAGCAGGAUUGAAGCCGAGAGGUUCAGGGCCUCUCAAGCCAGUAUGAGUGGCCAGCGCAGUGCCCUGACCAGACCUUCCGUCCAGCUGCUCCACAUAAAAUCUGCUCUGACUGCGAUAGGAGCCUUGAGUGGCCAGAGAGACAACCUGUGGAGGAGGAGCUCUGGCUGCCAACCUGCAUCUGCAUUAGCCCCAGACUCAGCCUGUGUCUGCCUGGCAGGGAGGGGGGCCACGUUUGCUGCUGAGGUGUCCAGAAGAGUGGCCCUUAGGACCCUGGAGCGCAGACCCCUGCCAUGUGGCCACCACCGCUGGAGCAGACCCGCUCUCUCAGCUGGGACAAGCCACACCCUACACAUCUCAGGGAGGGACACUGGUGGGGGAUAGUAUGAACCAGUGAGAAGGGAAAUACAGGUAGUUAUGACUCAAGAGAAUACAGCACACAAAUAUUUAUGAUUUUGUAGCUUGAUAGAUAUGAAUAAAUUAUUGUAUUAUAUUUAAUGACAAUACUAAACUUUAAUAAUUUAAUUUCUUUGGUAUUUUCAGUAUAUAUUUUUUCAAAAUCUUUGUGGCACAAUAUUGUAAUAAUAAUAAUAUUGUAAUCUCUUACCAUUACUCCUUCAGCCCAGUUCUACAUUAUGAUUGUCUACUUAUUCACAACAGAUUCUGUUGAACACAGAUUCUGUGUUGUGAAUAAGUAGACAAUUACAAUCUUACCUGUACAGUAUCUGGGUCCUUCCACCAGUUCGGUGCCUUUUUAGAAGUGUAACUUGUGAUUUCACAAAAUGUUGACAUUCUGUCCUAAAGAGCACAUGUUCAACUUCAUAAAAAACACAUGUUGCCAUUCCAAUAGGUUACAUAAAAAAAGACUAUAGUUAGUGCCUAUUAAGUGCUAAAUAAAGUAUCAGGGUUGACGGUAUCAGGGUUGACGAUCUCGUUUUAAAUCAGCCAUAAAUCCUCUCGUGACAGGGGGAAUGGAAGCUUGUGUGCAACAGGGAGUGGCAAUUGAAACCCGUUAGUUUUCUAUCACAAAACAGAAAAUGGCCCAACAAGUUUUUACACUAUGAUUUGACUAUUUGAUGUUCAAUGUUUCUUUUGAAAAAUACAUUUUAAAUGAAUAGUUUCACCAUAUUAAAACUAGAGGGUUGACCUUAAAAUGAGGGACAGAUGUGAAUGAAUCACUAAUCAAAUGAAAUAAAUAUAAUCUUCAGAACUGACUUAAAAUAACUAGGGAUGUACAAUGGAGAAAUGUUUGGAUUACAUGGGUUGAAGUCUUCCUAGAAGUGACACAGGGUUGGCAGAGGGACAUGUCAAAAUGCUGAAUUUAGCAAGCCUUUAUUCAUAUUAAAAAUCAGAUUAAUUGAAUUCUCCAUGCCGUCUAUAUUAAAGGGCACUUCAUUGAGUAGAACAGGCUUUUAAAAUUAAUAUAUCAAAAGGCACUCUUCGUGGAACGACCCAUCUGACAAAUAUUUGUAUCUAUCCAUUCAGGGUUUUGAUUUACAUUUUUAUAGAAAUCUAGAAAGAAUUAGAAAAAAGUGUCCAGCCUUUUAUUGAGGUAUGAGAAAUAGUCCUGCUUAUUUCUGAGGUUGUCAAAUGAUUAAUUGAUGUCUAGAUCAAAGGACUAAACAUGUAUUGGGGGGGGAUUUCAUGGUUUCAGUCACCUAGAGCAAUACAUCCUUGAGUUCAUGUAAGUCCUAAUGAAUUGUGUAGGCAGAGAAGUCUUUGUGGCCAAAUAAAAGUCUUGUAAAGGCAUCUAAACCCAUAACAAGUGUCCCUUUGUUCUAGCACUACUCUAUUCAUCAUGAGUCGGCUGUGUGAAUCCAGGCAUUGCUGCAGCUUUGAGAGCAACUCUGAGUUCCAUGCCCACCAGCUUUCAAUAACUGGGGAUGUCGGAGCUUGACAGUAGAAAGUAUUUUUUCUGACUAGAAGAAAAUAAGAGCCCUAAGCAAUAGUAGAUGAGCUGUUAGUAAGCACACAGUCCACUGGGAGAGAGACAUGGCAGCAUACUAUACAUAGUGCAGUGGUGAAGGCGAAACAAAAGCCAAAUGUAAUACUAUUGUUUGCAGAUAUUAAAGAUAUCCAAACUAUAGUGCCCCCCAAUUACAGUAAUAAACCAUGCCCAUCAUUGUACAUUGUAAUGAUCCACACCAGCAUGCAGGGCGAAGUUUAGAGGAGGUGUGUUCACAGGGAAGGUUUGUGUCCUAAAGAGGCCCUAGUCAGCCAAUGGGAUCGAGCAGUGGCUGUUGUUCACUGGCAGCCUGCUAGGAUUAAUCCCAGCCUUACAGGAAGACACCAUCUUUUUCUGCCUUGGUCAGAUCAAUAGGCAACAUUCUCUCCAGCACAGCAGUCAAUACCCAACACUUAAGGUGUCUGUGGAAACUAAAGAAUGCCAAUAAUUGUUAUUAAUGCCUAGGAUUUCCCCAAGUACUGCAUUUAUAGGGUAAUUCCAGUGUAACAGACAUUCAACCAACAUCACACACACAACACCAAUGCCCUCCGGAGUGUAUACAUUAAGAAACCUAUACACAAAUACAAAGAUGGAAAAAAAAUCUACAAAAUGGAUGUGCAACCUUUUUUCAAAUAAGUAUUGUGUUUGUAACCUGAUUUAUAAAUGGUAUUGCUCUUUUGAGUCCGAUACUAUAAUGGUACUGAGUAGUGAGCUACUGCACCAUGCUCUGGGUAAAACCUUGGCCCAUUCAGGCCUUAUGGAGAAAUUGGUCACACUGAAAUUCAAUAAUUUGUCCACGGUGCUAGUUUAUUCAGUAUGCCUGAUGUACCUUUGGUAUAUUAAUCAAUACGGCCUGAGGUGUGAUAUAUAAGGCACAAGUGGGUGUGGUAUAUGGCCAAUAUACCAUGGCUAAGAGAUGUUCUUAGACACAACGCAAUGCGGAAUGCCUGGAUACAGCCCUGGGUGGUUCGAGCCUUGAAUGCUGAUUGGCUGACAGCGGUGGUAUAUCAGACCGUAUACUACGGGAAGGACAAAACAUUUAAUUUUACUGCUCUAAUUACAUUGGUAACCAGUUUAUAAUAGCAAUAAGGCACCUCAGGGGUUUGUAGUAUAUUGCCAAUAUACCAUGGCAAAAGGCUGUAUCCAGGCACUCCGCAAUGCAUCGUGCGUUAGAACAGCCCUUUGCCGUGGUAUAUUGGCCAUAUACCACAAACACAGAGAUUCUUUAUUGCUGUUAUAAACCAGUUAACAAGUAGUUUUGCGUUAUACCUGUGGUAUGUCUGAUAUAUGCUCCGAUGGAAUGCUGUUUCAGCCAAUCAGCAUCCAGGACCCAAACUGCCCGGUUUAUAAUGGCAUUUAAUAAAAUGUUGAACAUUGUGUGUGUGUGUCUUUAAUAGCAGGUGUUAUUCCGGCCACGUGCUGAGGAAUGGAUUUGUGUUGAUUGUGGAGUGUUAUGAAACAUGAUGACAGACAUUAAAGAAAUAGCACAUUGUAAUGCCUUUCUCCUUGCCUCUAAGAUCAAGAGGAUUUUUUUCUGAGAGCCAAAGAAAGGCAUUGAUUAUUUUGUCUGAUUGCUCAAGGAUCAUAAUUAUACCUCUGCCACUUUGAAGCUGCUCUGUCAGGAAGAUUUUAAAAAAUAAAAAUAAAAAAAUAAAAAAUUGAAUUCUAGGCAUUGCCUGCCAUAUGAAUAAGAUCGCAUUACAUACAUUAAAAUAUGUCAAUUUGACCUUUCUCCCAUCAACCCUACCUCCUGAAGUCCUUUUUUCAU